GGAGCUAACGCGUUAAGUCGACCGCCUGGGGAGUACGGCCGCAAGGUUAAAACUCAAAUGAAUUGACGGGGGCCCGCACAAGCGGUGGAGCAUGUGGUUUAAUUCGAUGCAACGCGAAGAACCUUACCUGGUCUUGACAUCCACGGAAGUUUUCAGAGAUGAGAAUGUGCCUUCGGGAACCGUGAGACAGGUGCUGCAUGGCUGUCGUCAGCUCGUGUUGUGAAAUGUUGGGUUAAGUCCCGCAACGAGCGCAACCCUUAUCCUUUGUUGCCAGCGGUCCGGCCGGGAACUCAAAGGAGACUGCCAGUGAUAAACUGGAGGAAGGUGGGGAUGACGUCAAGUCAUCAUGGCCCUUACGACCAGGGCUACACACGUGCUACAAUGGCGCAUACAAAGAGAAGCGACCUCGCGAGAGCAAGCGGACCUCAUAAAGUGCGUCGUAGUCCGGAUUGGAGUCUGCAACUCGACUCCAUGAAGUCGGAAUCGCUAGUAAUCGUGGAUCAGAAUGCCACGGUGAAUACGUUCCCGGGCCUUGUACACACCGCCCGUCACACCAUGGGAGUGGGUUGCAAAAGAAGUAGGUAGCUUAACCUUCGGGAGGGCGCUUACCACUUUGUGAUUCAUGACUGGGGUGAAGUCGUAACAAGGUAACCGUAGGGGAACCUGCGGUUGGAUCACCUCCUUACCUUAAAGAAGC
rnacentral:rRNA from 1 species